rnacentral:rRNA from 1 species
GAUGAACGCUGGCGGCGUGCCUAAUACAUGCAAGUCGAGCGAACGGACGAGAAGCUUGCUUCUCUGAUGUUAGCGGCGGACGGGUGAGUAACACGUGGAUAACCUACCUAUAAGACUGGGAUAACUUCGGGAAACCGUAGCUAAUACCGGAUAAUAUUUUGAACCGCAUGGUUCAAAAGUGAAAGACGGUCUUGCUGUCACUUAUAGAUGGAUCCGCGCUGCAUUAGAUAGUUGGUAAGGUAACGGCUUACCAAGGCAACGAUGCAUAGCCGACCUGAGAGGAUGAUCGGCCACACUGGAACUGAGACACGGUCCAGACUCCUACGGGAGGCAGCAGUAGGGAAUCUUCCGCAAUGGGCGAAAGCCUGACGGAGCAACACCGCGUGAGUGAUGAAGGUCUUCGGAUCGUAAAACUCUGUUAUUAGGGAAGAACAUAUGUGUAAGUAACUGUGCACAUCUUGACGGUACCUAAACAGAAAGCCACGGCUAACUACGUG